rnacentral:lncRNA from 1 species
AUUAACUGCUGUCAGAUUCACUCACUUGAGCAUCAGAAGCAGCAUCUGAUGGGGAGGUGGGGGUAAAUCAGAUGUGAUUCGUUUGGGUGGUUGGAGUGUUUCUGCAGUUUCCAGCUUCAUUCUAGCUCUGCUACCCUGUAUCUCGCUACAAAUCUGUCUAAUCUCCUAAUGCAGGUGCGGGGGGAGAAACCCCAGUGAAUUCAUGUUAUGCAUUUCACUAAAGAUCCUGAGCAAUUUUGCCUGCAUAUUCCAUGACUUCAGGUGUUGGUGGGAAUGGGGCUGGAGUAUUUCUCCUGAGCCAAUAGGAAGUUGCUCUCCCUGCCAUGGUCCACUGAACAGCAUAAUGAAAACCCAUCAAUACAACAGCUGGAAUAAAGAGCAGCAAUUCCAGGUUUCUUUGCUUUUUGCAUUUGGGCCUGCACCCAGUCUUACAACUCUGCCAUUGGCUGACAGAGCGGCUGGAGCUUCAAGCAUAGCCCUGGGACUGCUGCCCUACGAAGCGGAAGAGCUACUAUGGCUGGACGAGUGCUUCCUGCAGACUAUUUCUGAAGUCCUUACAAAGUCCACACUAGGAACCAUGGUUCCUAUUGACGUACAGAGAUCAGUAAAAGGUCCACAGGUGGAGGAGUCAAGGUAUGAAGCUCAGAGGAGCAAUCCUGGGAAAACAGCCAGGGAGUCUGUGAAGGUCUCAGGCUCUGCAGAAUUCCAGCUUCCUGCCUUCAGGUGCCCUCCUAUGGAAACCCUGCUUUGUUCACCCAACCAUCCUUAACUCUGCUCCCCCUGGGAUGCCCAUCUCCCAUCCUUUGUAAGAUGCGCUGGUUUCAGAUCAAAGACUUUCUUUGGGCUUAAAGAAAAUUCCACCCUCCCACUGGGAACAACUUGGAUUUGGAAAGUCAGCGUAUUGGUAAAGUAACUUCCUGUCUCACACACCAGUUUGUCACUGCACUAACCUUUGCUCUUUCCAGGGUAAAUGACUCACUGUCACAAUGCAUAAUACCAGCUGCAGCUUAUGCUAUUUGCGCAGUCAAUGGCCCCCAAUUGUUGUGAACGGGGUGAAUUGCCUUCAAUAGGCUGCAUCUACUUAGAAACUGGUAGAGUGCAUCUUUGUCCUGUAUAUUGCUGUAAAUAAAGGGGCCUCCGCUCAGCCA